rnacentral:lncRNA from 10 species
UGUGCACAAGUCAUUCACGGUCCUGUUGAUACGUUUCUGGCUUUUACUAUACAAACGAUGCUCCUGUGAAUACUUCUGUUGAGUGUCUCACGUAAGGUCUAUAGCUAGGAGUCUCACUGUUGUGUCACAGGGCACAUCUUCAUUAGUUAAUACCAAACUGUUUUUCCAACUGGCUUGUACCAACUUACUCUUGCACAGAAGUGAGUAAGCCUCCAUUCCACAGCAACAAGGCUUGGUGCAUCACAUGUUUUUAUUUUUGCCAAUCUUACAGUGUAACUAUAUCUCAGAUUUUAAUUUGUAUUUCCAAUUACUAACAAUGCUGAAUAUAUUUCUGUUGGUUGGCCAUUUAGAUUUCUCCUUCUGUAUAGUACUUAAAUCUUUCAUACAAUUUUUCCCCCGCUACAGUUCUCUAUGUAUUGUGAAUAUUCAAUACUGUGUAAUGUCUGCAAGUAUCUUUUUCCAAUUUGUGGUUUGUCUUGUCAUUAUCCUUAUGUUAUCUUUUGAUAAAAAGUUACUUCACUUCAGUGAAGCUGAAUAUAUGAAUCCUUUCCUUAGCCUUUUUAUGGCCUUUUUAAAAAGUUCUACACUGAGGCCACAGAGACACUCUGCCAUAUUAUAUUCAAAAGACUUCUUAGUUUUGGUUUCACAUCUAGGUUUUUAAUAAAUCUGGAGUUGAUUUGUGUAUGGAAUAAUGGUAAUCUGGGAAAUUUUUUUUUCCCAUAGGGACAUCCAAUUGUCCAACCACCUUUACUGAAAAGUCUAUCUUCAUACUAUUGAUGUGCAAUGCCUCUUCUGUGGUAUGUUAAAGUCCAUAUAUUCUUGGGUCUGUUUCUCAAAUUCUGUAACACUGGUCUAGAUAACUACAGCACUAAGAUAUAGUCUCACUCUUUACAGUCUGAUACCUGGAGGGGCACAUCACCCAUUUUUGUUGUUGUUCAAGAAUAUCUUGUCUCUUUUUUGCUCUUUCUGUUCCUCUGUAUGUUUCAGAGUCAGCUUAACAAGUACUAUAAAAAAUGCUUGGGAUUUUGACUGCAAUUACAUUGGAACUGCGGUCGAUUACCUGUUUACUGUAUCCUCUAAUCCAGUGAUAGUUUAUCGCUCCACUUAUCAGGGCUACUUUAAUAUCUCUCAAAAAAGUUUUUUAAAUGUCAGAGAGGUCUUGCAUAGCACUUGCUAGAUUCUUAAGUACUUAAUGUUUUUUCAUGCUAUGGCAUCUUUUUCUAAAUUUUACUGUUUAUAUAUAUAUAAAUACAAUUGAUUUUUAUACUGACUUUCUAUCCAACAACCUUGCCUACCUUUUAUUAAUUCUAAACAUUUAUUUCUAGAUUCUUGUGGAUUUUAUAUUUGUAUAAUCAUAUCUGUGCAAAAUAAGUAAGUUUUGUUUCCUCUCAUAUGUAAAUACAAUUGAUUUUUAUACUGACUUUAUAUCCAACAACUUUGCCUUUUAUUAAUUCUAAAUAUUUAUAUUCUUAUGGAUUUUAUAUUUAUAUAAUCAUAUCUGUGCAAAAUAAGUUUUGUUUCCUCUCAAUCCUCCUAUCGUUUAUUUUUUCCUGCUUUCCUGUGCUAUAAUUUCUAGUAAAUUACUGAAGCGGGACUAACUUGUCCCUAAUUUCAAAAGGAAAGCAUUCAGUGUAUCACUACUAAAUAUAUUUACUACAAAUUUCUUGUAGAUAUUUUUCAGGUUAAGGAAGUUCCCCCUUUCUAUUUCCCAGUUUGCUAACAGUUUUUAUCAGGAAGGAAUAUUGGAUUUUAUCAAGUUUGCUGCACUUUCUAAAAUAACCAGUGUUCUCCUUUAGUGUAAAGUUGAAACCACCUUGUUCCUGAUGUGUCAUCCUAUUUAUGUAGUGCCAAAUCCACUUUGCUAAUUAUUUUUCCGAGAUUUUGCAUCUGAGUGAGAUGUUCCUCGAAUUUUCCUUUCCCAUAUUUUGCCAAGUAUUGUUAUCAAGGUUAUCCUGGCCUUAAAAAAUAAGUUGAGGAAUGUUCCCUUUUUUGGCUUGUGCAAAAUAGUUUGUGUAAAAGUGACCUUUCAGUCAUUAUUUCUUAAAUGUUUAGUAAAAUUGGCCAGAGAAGCCACAGCUUUCUUCGUGAAAAGAUUUUGGGCUACUGAUUGAAAUUCUUUAGGGCAGGGGUUGGCUUAUAACCUAUUUUGCUACUGCCUUCAAGCUAAGAAUGGUUUUUGCAAUGGUUGUUAAAAACAAAACAAAACAAAACAAAACAAAAAACUAUGUAACCAAGACUUUAGGUGGCCUGUAAUGCCUGAAUAUUUACUAUCUGACCCAGAAGAAAAUUGCUGAUUCUUGUUCUAUAGGCUUGACAAAUUUCUAUCUCAUUGUUCUAUCAAUUAGAAAAAAGCAUGUC